ACGGGGUGCAGCAGGCGCGAAAACUUUACAAUGCGGGCAACCGCGAUAAGGGGACCUCGAGUGCUGGGUUACAAACCUGGCUGUUGGGCUGCCUAAAAAGCAGUCUAUAGCAAGGGCCGGGCAAGACCGGUGCCAGCCGCCGCGGUAACACCGGCGGCUCGAGUGGUAACCGCUAUUAUUGGGUCUAAAGGGUCUGUAGCCGGCCGACUAAGUCUCUUGGGAAAUCUGGCAUCUCAAGUGUCAGGCUGCCAGGGGAUACUGGUCGGCUUGGGACCGGGAGAGGUGAGAGGUACCUCGGGGGUAGGGGUGAAAUCUUGUAAUCCUCGAGGGACCACCAGUGGCGAAGGCGUCUCACCAGAACGGAUCCGACGGCAAGGGACGAAAGCUAGGGGCACGAACCGGAUUAGAUACCCGGGUAGUCCUAGCCGUAAACGAUACUCGCUAGGUGUCGGCCACGGUGCGACCGUGGUCGGUGCCGUAGGGAAGCCGUGAAGCGAGCCACCUGGGAAGUACGGCCGCAAGGCUGAAACUUAAAGGAAUUGGCGGGGGAG
rnacentral:rRNA from 1 species